rnacentral:rRNA from 1 species
UUCCGGUUGAUCCUGCCAGAGGUCACUGCUAUCGGGGUUCGAUUAAGCCAUGCGAGUCGAGAGGGUUCGGCCCUCGGCGUACUGCUCAGUAACACGUGGAUAACCUGCCCUAGGGGAGGGGAUAACCCCGGGAAACUGGGGAUAAUACCCUAUAGGUUACAGAUGCUGGAAUGCCCUGUAACCAAAAGCUCCGGCGCCCUAGGAUGGAUCUGCGGCCGAUUAGGUUGUUGUUGGGGUAACGGCCCAACAAGCCCGUAAUCGGUACGGGUUGUGGGAGCAAGAGCCCGGAGUUGGAUUCUGAGACACGAAUCCAGGCCCUACGGGGCGCAGCAGGCGCGAAACCUUUACAAUGCGGGCAACCGUGAUAAGGGAACCUCGAGUGCCUGUAAACGCAGGCUGUUCAGGUGUUUAAAACGCACCUGGAGAAAGGGCCGGGCAAGACCGGUGCCAGCCGCCGCGGUAAUACCGGCGGCUCGAGUGGUGGCCGCUUUUAUUGGGCUUAAAGCGUUCGUAGCUGGGUUGUUAAGUCUCUUGGGAAAUCUGGCGGCUUAACCGUCAGGCGUCUAAGGGAUACUGGCAAUCUUGGAACCGGGAGAGGUGAGGGGUACUUCGGGGGUAGGGGUGAAAUCCUGUAAUCCUCGAGGGACCACCUGUGGCGAAGGCGCCUCACCAGAACGGCCUCGACAGUGAGGGACGAAAGCUGGGGGAGCAAACCGGAUUAGAUACCCGGGUAGUCCCAGCCGUAAACGAUGCGCGUUAGGUGUAUCGGUGACCACGAGUUACCGAGGUGCCGAAGGGAAACCGUGAAACGCGCCGCCUGGGGAAGUACGGUCGCAAGGCUGAAACUUAAAGGAAUUGGCGGGGGGAGCACCACACGGGUGGAGCCUGCGGUUUAUUGGAUUCAACGCCGGAA